GACGAACCGUGCAAACGUUAUUCGGAAUCACUGGGCAUAAAGGGCGCGUAGGCGGCUUCAUAAGUCAGGGGUGAAAUCCUGGAGCUCAACUCCAGAACUGCCUUUGAUACUGGCGAGCUUGAGUUCGGGAGAGGUGAGUGGAACUGCGAGUGUAGAGGUGAAAUUCGUAGAUAUUCGCAAGAACACCAGUGGCGAAGGCGGCUCACUGGCCCGAUACUGACGCUGAGGUGCGAAAGCGUGGGGAGCAAACAGG
rnacentral:rRNA from 1 species